rnacentral:lncRNA from 10 species
GAGAGGACUGCAGGUGGAGAAGGAGGUACUGAGGUACUGAGGUACUGAGGUAACAUACUGACUGUAUCCUCUUCCAGGAAGGCAAGGUUCAGAAGUAAGAGCUGGAGAAAGAGGGCCACAUGCAAAUUCCAAAAUAGAACCCUGAGGGCACCCUCUAGAUAUUCAAAAUAUCCCCAUGCUCCCCUAUGAUCAUAAGCAAUGAUAAUCCAUAUAAAUCAUUUCCAUUUCCAGUGUUGUAUGUAAUACAGGGAUAUAGAAUUCAGAUUCAAAGCCUAUGCUUUUUUCUCAUGAUGCCAUAACACUGCAUGAGCCUUGAGUUUGAAAUUAAUUUGGAUUUGAAGUAAUAAAAAUAAAUUUAGGUAUAAUGUACUCAUUACCAUAAUGUAAUGGGUGCACUAAAAUCUCAGAAUUCACCACUAUAUAAUGUAUUCAUGUAACAAAAAAAACACUUGUACCUCAAAAGCUAUUG